GCCCAAUUCAGAAGAGUCUCCAGCUGCUGCCUUCAGCAGGGCAGGACUCUGGGCUCUUCCAGCACCACGUUUGCCUGGACACUACCAUGCUUCUCACCAUGAUGAUAAGGAACUGAACCUCUGAAACUAGAAUUGAGUUCCCUGAGAUGGCAGAAGAGAGAGAGGAAGCACCUGCCCGUCAUCAGCCCAGGAGAGGUACGGGGACUGGUAGGCCUGCCCAGUUUGCUGAAGGUCUUCUUGUGAAGAUACGACCACCAGUCAAGAGGGUAUCAGACAAAAUGGGCUUUAGCCACUCCUCCUUUGUUCCUGAAGAAGUAGAGAGACCAUAACUGUAGAGAACCCAGCUCCAGAGACUACAAGAUGGUUCAGUAGGUAUUCCAUACUGCCCUCUGAUGCCCAUCUCUUCCAGAAUGGAGAAAAACUGACUCCAUGAGUUCCUUAACUAAAGGAACCAGCAGAAGUCCCUAUUCCAGGACACAACCAAUGACUUCCAAAAUGGAUGAGAUCCAUCCAUCCUGCAAGCACCUUCAUCCCUUCCUCAUGGGAGCCAGGACGUACUGUCUGGAUAAACACACAACCAACAGUCAUUAGAACUUGUUUAUCUUUGGGGA